rnacentral:tRNA from 3 species
GGGCGUGUAGCUCAGAUGGUUAGAGCGCAGCACUGAUAAUGCUGAGGUCCCAGGUUCGAUUCCUGGCACGCCCACCA